rnacentral:rRNA from 1 species
AUGGUUGACGACGGCGUUGAUCGAUCGAUGGACGAGAUGGUUUCGUUGACAAUGAAGCAGCUCGGCGACUCCACCGACACGACUGUCCGGCCUCAAAGCUGCGUUCUCGCGCUCCCGUCGCCCCCGGCUUUGGCGGGAGACAAGGAGGAAGAAGAGCCGGUUCUUGGGGGCGGAGAUCAGGCCGAUGACGGCGAGGAGGACGAGGAGUCUUACGACAGCGAUGACAGCUAUGACGAGGAUGAGAGUGACGACGAGGUCGAGGUGCCGAUCAAGAUUGACUCGCGCGUAGCAGCCGCGGCGAGCGGCGUCUGGGCCGGCCCGCCGCUACUGCGGGGGCAGUACGUGCCCGACGGCCGGUCCCUUGAGCCAACACUACAGUUUGCCUCCUCGGGGAACACGGCCGGCUUCUUGGGCGUCGCCGUCGUGGUGCCGCCCCCGGCUGAUCGCCCGGCCGCCAGCCAAGAACAAGGAGGAGGCAAGGACAAGGAGAUCUUGGUGCUCUACCGCUACACCGAGUUUGAGGCGGCACCCGACCUCGACGGCGUGGAGGUGUCCAAGAAAACGAUGCUGCACUAUCUCCAUUUCGUCGUCCCGCCGGCCGGUGACGUGGCGGGCUCGCUCCAGUGGGCUUGGUCGUCUCUGGCGUCGCUGAUAUACCCCGCCCGCCACAACAACAAGCUCCAGGAACUCUGGUCCGAACUGGUCACGAACAUGGCCGUGGGCAUCCCGCCGGGGACCACGCGUCUCGAGGUGAUAGCUGACGUCGGUAUCCUCCGGCUCGAGGACUACAGGUAUUGGCGCAUGUAUGCGGUGACGGACGCGCUACGGGGCAUAAAAGCGGAGCCAUGGCCCGGGUACCACGUCGGCAUGGAGCUGCGCCUGCCAGAGCCGGUGCACGUGCAGUGCGCGGACGAAGAUGAAGCCGUCGCCACCGACUGCGAGCGGCCGACGAAGCGGAGGAAGAUCGUCACGGAGGAGGGCGCCGCGCAGAAGUGCCCCGUCUGCUUGGAGCCGCUGGAGAGCGACGCCGCCUCGUGGCCCGGGUGCUCCUCGCCCCACGUCUUCCAUGGCACGUGCCUUGAGGGGACGCUCAAGGAGAGCGAGAAGUGCCCCAUCUGCAGGCGCAGGCCGUCGGCUCAGGAUGAAGAAGUCAGGGCUGAAGCCUAG